GAAAUGCGAUACGUAGUGUGAAUUGCAGAAUUCAGUGAAUCAUCGAAUCUUUGAACGCACAUUGCGCCCUUUGGUAUUCCAAAGGGCAUGCCUGUUCGAGCGUCAUUUGUACCCUCAAGCUUUGCUUGGUGUUGGGCGUUUUUUUUGUCUUGCCUUGCCGCGAGACUCGCCUUAAAACGAUUGGCAGCCGGCCUACUGGUUUCGGAGCGCAGCACAUUUUUUGCGCUUACAACCAGCUAAAGAGGUCAGCAAUCCAUCAAGUCCAUUUCUCACUUUUGACCUCGGAUCAGGUAGGGAUACCCGCUGAACUUAA
rnacentral:misc_RNA from 1 species